UCCCUCUUAGCUCAGUGGUAGAGCGUGUCACUCGUACUGCGAGGUUAUGACAAGGUCAGUCGUUCAAUCCGGCUAGCGGGAA